UACGGGGGGGGCAAGCGUUGUUCGGAAUUACUGGGCGUAAAGGGCUCGUAGGCGGCCAACUAAGUCGGAUGUGAAAUCCCCCAGGCUCAACCUGGGAACUGCAUCCGAUACUGGAUGGCUUGAAUUCGGGAGAGGGAUGCAGAAUUCCAGGUGUAGCGGUGAAAUGCGUAGAUAUCUGGAGGAAUACCGGUGGCGAAGGCGGCAUCCUGGACCGACAUUUGACGCUGAGGAGCGAAAGCCAGGGGAGCAAACGGG
rnacentral:rRNA from 1 species